rnacentral:rRNA from 1 species
AGAGUUUGAUCCUGGCUCAGGAUGAACGCUGGCGGCGUGCCUAACACAUGCAAGUCGAACGGACUUAAAUUGAAACCUAGUGAAGUUUAAGUUAGUGGCGGACGGGUGAGUAACGCGUGGAUAACCUGCCGUAUGCAGGGGGAUACCAACUGGAAACAGUUGCUAAUACCGCAUAAGCGCACAGUACCGCAUGGUAUAGUGUGAAAAGAUUUAUCGGCAUACGAUGAAUCCGCGUCCGAUUAGCCAGUUGGCGGGGUAGAAGCCCACCAAAGCGACGAUCGGUAGCCGGCCUGAGAGGGCGGACGGCCACAUUGGGACUGAGACACGGCCCAAACUCCUACGGGAGGCAGCAGUGGGGAAUAUUGCACAAUGGGGGGAGCCCUGAUGCAGCGACGCCGCGUGGGUGAAGGAGUACUUCGGCAUGUAAAGCCCUAUCGGCAGGGAAGAAGCAAGACGGUACCUGACUAAGAAGCCCCGGCUAACUACGUGCCAGCAGCCGCGGUAAUACGUAGGGGGCGAGCGUUAUCCGGAUUCACUGGGUGUAAAGGGAGCGUAGACGGCCAUGCAAGCCAGGGGUGAAAGCCCGGGGCCCAACCCCGGGACUGCCCUUGGAACUGCAUGGCUGGAGUGCGGGAGGGGCAGGCGGAAUUCCUGGUGUAGCGGUGAAAUGCGUAGAUAUCAGGAGGAACACCGGCGGCGAAGGCGGCCUGCUGGACCGCGACUGACGUUGAGGCUCGAAAGCGUGGGGAGCGAACAGGAUUAGAUACCCUGGUAGUCCACGCCGUAAACGAUGACUACUAGGUGUCGGGGGACGACAGUGCCCCGGUGCCGGCGCAAACGCAAUAAGUAGUCCACCUGGGGAGUACGUCCGCAAGGAUGAAACUCAAAGGAAUUGACGGGGACCCGCACAAGCGGUGGAGCAUGUGGUUUAAUUCGAAGCGACGCGAAGAACCUUACCCGGCCUUGACAUCCCCACGGAUGCAGGGCAAUGCCUACAGCCCCUCGGGGCGUGGGAGACAGGUGGUGCAUGGUUGUCGUCAGCUCGUGUCGUGAGAUAUUGGGUUAAGUCCCGCAACGAGCGCAACCCUUAUUUCUAGUUGCCAGCAGUAAGAUGGGGACUCUAGAGAGACUGCCAGUGACAAACUGGAGGAAGGUGGGGAUGACGUCAAAUCAUCAUGCCCCUUAUGUCUUGGGCUACACACGUGCUACAAUGGUCAGAACAGAGGGAAGCGAAGCCGCGAGGUGGAGCAAAUCCCAGAAAACUGAUCUCAGUUCGGAUUGCAGGCUGCAACCCGCCUGCAUGAAGUCGGAAUCGCUAGUAAUCGCGGGUCAGCAUACCGCGGCGAAUACGUUCCCGGGCCUUGCACACACCGCCCGUCA